GUCCACGCCCUAAACGAUGCAUAUUUGGUGUGGGUCAUUCAGUUGAUCCGUGCCGGAGCUAACGCGUUAAAUAUGCCGCCUGGGGAGUACAGUCGCAAGGCUGAAACUCAAAGGAAUUGACGGGGGCCCGCACAAGCGGUGGAGCAUGUGGUUCAAUUCGACGCAACGCGAAGAACCUUACCUGGGGCUCGAACGGCCGGUUAACGGCGGUGGAAACACUGCUAUCCCGCAAGGGAGUCCGGUCGAGGUGCUGCAUGGCUGUCGU
rnacentral:rRNA from 1 species